rnacentral:rRNA from 1 species
GGAAAAGAAAAUAACCAUGAUUCCCUUAGUAACGGCGAGUGAAGUGGGAAGUGCUCAAAUUUAAAAUCCCAUUAGGGAGUUGUAAUUUAGAGAACGUUUUGCAUGGAAGUGGAGAUUAAAGUCUGCUGGAAAGCAUGCGCUAGAAAGGGUGAUAGCCCCGUUCAAUCUCUUACGACCUAAUCAGCGGACGUUUCAAAGAGUCAGGUUGCUUGGGAAUGCAGCCUAAAUUUGGUGGUAAACUCCAUCUAAAGCUAAAUAUUGAUCAGUGACCGAUAGCAAACAAGUACCGUGAGGGAAAGAUGAAAAGAACCUUGAAAAGGGGGUUAAAAGUACGUGAAAUUGUUAUUAGGAAAGCACUUGGCGCUAUUGUGGAUUAGGUGAGUCUGUUUCGGCAGAUACUGACCUAAUUAGUCAUGAUCAGUUAGAGUUGGCAAAAAAACCGGAUUGAAAGGUAGUAGGGUAAACCUACACUUAUAGGCUUUCUGAACUUUGUUGAUUCUGACUGAGGAAUGCUUCUUAAAAUUACAUUGUGCUAAGGUUUAUGGAGAGUUGCUAAGCCAGCACGCUGAUUAGUACCUCGAAGUGACCUUUGUAUAAUGUCAUUUAAGAACAGGAUCAUGAUUAAAUAGUUCCAAAUGAC